UGGACCAAUGAUGGUGACUGAUGGCAUAGGAGAAUGUGCAGUGGAUACUAUGUGUCUGUAACUCUUGAGUCCAC
ensembl:snoRNA